UACGAAGGGGGCUAGCGUUGCUCGGAAUCACUGGGCGUAAAGGGUGCGUAGGCGGGUCUUUAAGUCAGGGGUGAAAUCCUGGAGCUCAACUCCAGAACUGCCUUUGAUACUGAGGAUCUUGAGUUCGGGAGAGGUGAGUGGAAUUCCUAGUGUAGAGGUGAAAUUCGUAGAUAUUAGGAAGAACACCAGUGGCGAAGGCGGCUCACUGGCCCGGUACUGACGCUGAGGCGCGAAAGCGUGGGGAGCAAACAGG
rnacentral:rRNA from 1 species